GGGCGCAAGCCUGAUCCAGCCAUGCCGCGUGAGUGAAGAAGGCCUUCGGGUUGUAAAGCUCUUUCAGGUGGAAAGAAAACGCAUGGGUCAAUACCCUGUGUGGAUGACGGUACCAUCAGAAGAAGCACCGGCUAACUACGUGCCAGCAGCCGCGGUAAUACGUAGGGUGCGAGCGUUAAUCGGAAUUACUGGGCGUAAAGCGUGCGCAGGCGGUGAUGUAAGACAGAUGUGAAAUCCCCGGGCUCAACCUGGGAACUGCGUUUGUGACUGCAUCACUCGAGUACGGCAGAGGGAGGUGGAAUUCCGCGUGUAGCAGUGAAAUGCGUAGAUAUGCGGAGGAACACCGAUGGCGAAGGCAGCCUCCUGGGCCAGUACUGACGCUCAUGCACGAAAGCGUGGGGAGCAAACAGGAUUAGAUACCCUGGUAGUCCACGCCCUAAACGAUGUCAACUAGUUGUUCGGUGAGGAGACUCAUUGAGUAACGCAGCUAACGCGUGAAGUUGACCGCCUGGGGAGUACGGCCGCAAGGUUAAAACUCAAAGGAAUUGACGGGGACCCGCACAAGCGGUGGAUGAUGUGGAUUAAUUCGAUGCAACGCGAAAAACCUUACCUACCCUUGACAUGCCAGGAAGUUUCCAGAGAUGGAUUCGUGCCCGAAAGGGAACCUGGACACAGGUGCUGUAUGGCUGUCGUCAGCUCGUGUCGUGAGAUGUUGGGUUAAGUCCCGCAACGAGCGCAACCCUUGUCAUUAGUUGCCAGCAUCCAGUUGGGCACUCUAAUGAGACUGCCGGUGACAAACCGGAGGAAGGUGGGGAUGACGUCAGGUCCUCAUGGCCCUUAUGGGUAGGGCUUCACACGUCAUACAAUGGUCGGUACAGAGGGUUGCCAAGCCGCGAGGUGGAGCCAAUCCCAGAAAGCCGAUCGUAGUCCGGAUUGGAGUCUGCAACUCGACUCCAUGAAGUCGGAAUCGCUAGUAAUCCGCAAAUCAGCAUGCU
rnacentral:rRNA from 1 species